CCGCCCAGGCCCGGCAGCAGUGCCGCCACAUCCCAGGCUGCCCCGGCGGGCCCUCCACGCAGAGCCCACGGCCACGCAGGUUCCCGGGUGGCCCCCACCGCCCCCAUCACAGGCUGCCUACUGGGAUGGAGGGAAAGACCCUGGAUCUGGCUGACGAGGAGUUGGUGCAGGGGGAGGUGGAGGGGGUCUUUGAGCUCUCACGGUUUUAAAAUCUGUUCCUGGUGUUUAAAAAUAUUUAUAAGAUGCAUCUAAGAGAAAAGAAAGAGUUUUGAGAUCAUCUGCUAUGACAGCUUAUCCAGACCAUUCAUUUGUUUAUCCACCAAAGUAUUUAAUUGGAAGCUUAUUCUCUGCACAGGCUCUAUAAGAGGCACUUGGACUAUAUGUAAGGAUGACCAGUGCAGGGGCACCUGCUGGCUCAGUCAGCGACAUCUCUCCUGCAGCAGCUUCACACGUGAGCGGGGACAGGCCAGCCUUACAUGCCCAAGGUCCGUGUACUUCCAGCAAACUUCUGCCCUGUGGCUACCCUUGAGACCGGAGACAAUGUAUACAGGUGGUACAGAGUAUCCUUGGCAAAUAGGCCGGAAGAAGUGGCCUGCGAAGACUCGGGAACCUGGUCUGAGGACAUUUAGGCGGAGAAUUCCAGAGCCUUAAGCACCAGCUCCAUCCUUAACUGAUAACUCAGCCUCUCUGAGCCUCAGUUUGGUCGCUAUAAAGGCUCAAUAGAACUGCCUCCACUCGCUUGUUAUGAGCCUUUUCCUUGGUCUCUUGGAUCACUGUCUUGGAGAAAGCCAGCUGUCAUCUCAGCAAGACACUCAAGCCACCCUUUAAAGAGGCUCACAUGGUGAGGAACUAAGAUCCUCUGCCAACAAAGAGCACAAACUUGACAGUCAUAUGAGUGAGCCAUUGUGGAAGCAGAUUCUCCAGCUAUAGUCAAGCUUUAAGAAAACUGCAGCCCUGGUCAACAUCUGGUUGAACUUCAUGAGAAACCCAGAGCCAGAACCAUUCAGUUAAAUUAUUCCUGAACUCAUGGCCACAUAAACUAUGUAAUCCUCAUUCAUGGGAGAAAAGUUUGAAAAGUUUCUCUGUACUAGAUAUCUGUUGUUUUGCUUGUUCAGCAUUUCUUCUUCUGGUGAAAUAAUAUCUCUUCUCCUCUGGGGAGUCAUCUGUGUGGGUUGGACAGAGCUUGCUCCAUUCCCUGACCCCAGCUCAAAAGAUGAGCCAGACCUGAUCAAUGAGACUCAUCGCUGGACUUAUUAGAACCAUCACAUAGUGAAUUACACUCAGUCCACAGAAGGAAGAGGUCUGGAGCUGCUGGUGGCCAUCCAAACUGUGUGGAUGGAGCCUUCUUGGGAAUGAAGUCAACAGAACAAAGCAGAACCAACAGAGAAAUAGUUUCUUGCUGGCACCACUGGAGGUUUGCAAUCUAACCAUCACUACUGUUAAUAUCACCCCUCAAACCUCCCAGUUACCUGAACCAAUACAUUCCAUUUGUUAAAAAAAAAAAAAAAAAAA